AGUAAGGAACGGGGUCCUUAUCUUCACCACAGAGCAGGAAGCUCCUGGGAAGCAAGGAAGCCGAAGUACAUCUCGGAAUGCAAAUAAAUCAAGAAAGAAGACCAAACUAAUUCAGUAUGCAAAUUAUCAAGACGUCAUUGCAGUCGGAUUUCGAAAGUGACGCCGGUCCUGAUGCUGCGCGCAGGAUGCAUCUCAUCUCCAUCAGCCGGUCCAGAUCUCUGCAGGUUCGGUGCACACAGGAUGGCCGACCCGCAGCAGGUAAACCGUGUGGCAUUUAAGACGUGAUGUAUGAGGGUAAUUAACAAGACAGGGCAAGAGGGAACUUAGGUCACUGCACA